GAUGAACGCUGGCGGCGUGCCUAAUACAUGCAAGUCGAGCGAAUGGAUUAAGAGCUUGCUCUUAUGAAGUUAGCGGCGGACGGGUGAGUAACACGUGGGUAACCUGCCCAUAAGACUGGGAUAACUCCGGGAAACCGGGGCUAAUACCGGAUAACAUUUUGAACCGCAUGGUUCGAAAUUGAAAGGCGGCUUCGGCUGUCACUUAUGGAUGGACCCGCGUCGCAUUAGCUAGUUGGUGAGGUAACGGCUCACCAAGGCAACGAUGCGUAGGCCACCGGGGAGGGGGAUCGGGCACACUGGGACAGAGACACGGCCCAGACUCCUACGGGAGGCAGCAGUAGGGAAUCUUCCGCAAUGGACGAAAGUCUGACGGAGCAACGCCGCGUGAGUGAUGAAGGCUUUCGGGUCGUAAAACUCUGUUGUUAGGGAAGAACAAGUGCUAGUUGAAUAAGCUGGCACCUUGACGGUACCUAACCAGAAAGCCACGGCUAACUACGUGCCAGCCGCCGCCGUAA
rnacentral:rRNA from 1 species